rfam:Orchesella cincta Ocin01_Sc0397, whole genome shotgun sequence.
GUAGGAUACGGAGAUAUGACCCCCAAAACAUAUAUCGGCAUGUUCGUUGGUGCCCUGUGUGCUCUGGCCGGUGUACUGACAAUUGCCCUUCCUGUUCCCGUCAUCGUCUCCAAU